rnacentral:rRNA from 1 species
GACGAACGCUGGCGGCGUGCCUAAUACAUGCAAGUCGAACGCACUCUCGUUUAGAUUGAAGGAGCUUGCUCCUGAUUGAUAAACAUUUGAGUGAGUGGCGGACGGGUGAGUAACACGUGGGUAACCUGCCCUAAAGUGGGGGAUAACAUUUGGAAACAGAUGCUAAUACCGCAUAAAACCUAAACACCGCAUGGUGUAGGGUUGAAAGAUGGUUUCGGCUAUCACUUUAGGAUGGACCCGCGGUGCAUUAGUUAGUUGGUGAGGUAAAGGCUCACCAAGACCGUGAUGCAUAGCCGACCUGAGAGGGUAAUCGGCCACACUGGGACUGAGACACGGCCCAGACUCCUACGGGAGGCAGCAGUAGGGAAUCUUCCACAAAUGGACGAAAGUCUGAUGGAGCAACGCCGCGUGAGUGAAGAAGGUUUUCGGAUCGUAAAAACUCUAGUUGUUGGAGAAGAAUGUAUCUGAUAGUAACUGAUCAGGUAGUGACGGUAUCCAACCAGAAAGCCACGG